CCUGCUGUGAGGAGCAAUACAGAAUGAAAAUACGAAUAAAUCCCUUGGUUGCUAGUCCUAGCAUUGAAUGACAGAAUGAGCAAACAUGGAAAGGCAAUCCUGGUGCCAUGGAGAAAGUACAUAUGUGAUGCCAGACUAUAUCUCUGUCCACAAACAUGAUUUCACUCCCCUGCAAAUCCACCUGCGAGCACAGUCACCUCAUUUCCAAGCAAUGAUUAGCUUUUGUUACCCAGAGCAGAUGUGAAACGUUUGCUGGGAUUAGGAAAUAUUUUGCAUGUGAGAAUGUGAAUGCUACAAUCCUCGACUCAGCCAAGAAGACUUAAUAAAUGGUGAAUUUUU